rnacentral:lncRNA from 1 species
GGGCUUGGCCCAUCCUGUAACAGUUUAGAACAAGUAGGGUUAGAUUCCUCCAAAUUUGGGCUCGGCCCGGCCCAUGCCCACCCCUACUUGCAUCCACACAAAAACUACACAAAAAAAUUGCCAAUGAGAUUGGAUAGCAUACCACAAUGUCAUGAAGCAAAAUUAACUUUAAUCAAGAAAUUAGCCACCUGAAAUCUGUCGGACAACUCUCCAACAAACCCAACUUUUUCUGGGUUUAUAUUUUCUCCCAAUCCAAAACGGAUUCAUCUAAAACACAAAGUCAGACGGGCUAAUCCUUUCACUGGACUGUGAUUUAACAAAGGUCCACCAUCACUCCAACAGUGCCUCUGCAUUGCUACUUGUUUCCUAGGUCCUGAACUGGAAAAUCCCCAAACAGCCAAAUCCAAAUUUUAUCAUCAAAACCAAAAUUAUAGUAAAAAAAAAUUAUUUUUCCGAAACUCUUCUAAAGGGCAGAAAGAGAGAAAGUACAAUUUAAGUUCGAAAACCUACAGAGGGGUUUUGGAGGAGAAGCAAAGAGGAGGAAAGGUGUGACCACCAUGACAACUCCAGGUUAGUCAUCCUGGAUUCAGUUUGCAGCAUAAUUACUACUACUUGCAAUGAUUCGCCUAUCAUUGUCUGGGGAGCAAAAACCUUGCAAAGACCAACAAUCCCAAAAAAUCAGUAUAUAUCACUCCUUGCAAAACUCCAAAGUCAGAAAAUGAGAAAAAUAAAAUUUCAUAACAUUAUACCUGAAGAAACCCCAAAUUUCCAGUCAAAGGGAAAUUAAUACAAUCUCUGCAAAAAAUAAUCAGAAGACAAAAACUCAAAUCUCAGAAAAAAAAAUCAGCAAAUUAAUCUUAUAAAUUGUGAUUUGGAAGAAAUUUUUGGAGGAGGGUAAGAUUGAAACGCACUGAGAGGCAAGCCUUGUAUUUCUGCAAUCCUUGUCCCAUUGGCCCUUCACAAACUUCUUCGAGUACGAUCCUACCUUUAACUUGAUUCGAAGGAAGGGCAUUGAAUGUUGACUCAACAAAAUUUUGCAAGUAAUGAAGUUGCGUAAUAAAUUUCACCUGAGAAGUUAAAGGGCACCAAGGUAAAUAAGGAAAAUUAAAACCAGUAACCACAUCAAUAUGAAUGAGCCUUAUGUUUAUUCUUUUCACUCAAACAUCAUUAUACCAUUACAGAAAAUCAGGAAUUUGAACAUCAGCUCGCGACUUCGCCUUUGAUUUGAACUCCACCAACUUCGAUGCAGUCCUUGGAUACACCCUUGCCUCCUUUGUCGUAGUCGAAUUCUUCGCUCACUAGUCAGCUUUUCUAAUUUCUACGUAAACCAUUGAUUCUAUUUGGGAAAUAAAUGGAACCCCUUAUGUUUUCUUGGCCAUAAUGGAUAUCAUCUUUGAUGAAUAUCAUCUGUGAGAAAACAAUUUGCUUUGUACACAUAAGUAACCACACAUUAGUAACCGUAAAUCGAAUUAAAACAAUUUGAUUAAUAUCAGUAACCACGACUAUAAUAACUACAAUUUGAACAUUUACCUCGAUCACAAAGUCUGUAACAUUUACCUCAA